rnacentral:rRNA from 1 species
CAAUGUACGAGAAGUAUGACAGAGUGAGUCAGAGUGCUUUUCAUAUGAAAAGGGUUUGCCAAAUGUAAAAAGUUUGGCGAAUAAGGAGUGGGUAAGACGAGUGCCCCCGCCGCGGUAAUACUCGCGGUCCAAGUAGCAGCCAUCAUUAUUGGGUCUAAAACAUCCGUAGGUUACUUAAUAAGUUUCUUGUGAAAUUCCAUGUGUCAAAUAUGGAGCGGGCCAGAAGCAAUGUUUAGCUAGGGGACGGAAGGAGUAAGAAGGACGUUUGGGGGUAGGGUAAAAUCGUGAAUCCCAGGGGGGACCACAACAGCGAAGGCAUCUCACGAGAACAGUUCUGACAGUAAGGGAUGAAGGCUAGGGGCGCAAAAGGGAUUAGAUACCCGGGUAGUCCUAGCAGUAAACAAUGCACACUAAACGUUAGUACGUCCUCGAGAGGUGUUAGUGCUGAAGGGAAGCUGAAGAGUGCGCCGCCUGGGAAGUAUAGUCGCAAGGCUGAAACUUAAAGGAAUUGGCGGGGGAGCACCACAACGGGUGGAGCGUGCGGUCAAUUGGAUUCAACGCCGGA